rnacentral:rRNA from 1 species
ACAGUGUCUGGUGGGUAGUUUGACUGGGGCGGUCUCCUCCUAAAGAGUAACGGAGGAGCACGAAGGUUGGCUAAUCCUGGUCGGACAUCAGGAGGUUAGUGCAAUGGCAUAAGCCAGCUUGACUGCGAGCGUGACGGCGCGAGCAGGUGCGAAAGCAGGUCAUAGUGAUCCGGUGGUUCUGAAUGGAAGGGCCAUCGCUCAACGGAUAAAAGGUACUCCGGGGAUAACAGGCUGAUACCGCCCAAGAGUUCAUAUCGACGGCGGUGUUUGGCACCUCGAUGUCGGCUCAUCACAUCCUGGGGCUGAAGUAGGUCCCAAGGGUAUGGCUGUUCGCCAUUUAAAGUGGUACGCGAGCUGGGUUUAGAACGUCGUGAGACAGUUCGGUCCCUAUCUGCCGUGGGCGCUGGAGAACUGAGGGGGGCUGCUCCUAGUACGAGAGGACCGGAGUGGACGCAUCACUGGUGUUCGGGUUGUCAUGCCAAUGGCACUGCCCGGUAGCUAAAUGCGGAAGAGAUAAGUGCUGAAAGCAUCUAAGCACGAAACUUGCCCCGAGAUGAGUUCUCCCUGACUCCUUGAGAGUCCUGAAGGAACGUUGAAGACGACGACGUUGAUAGGCCGGGUGUGUAAGCGCAGCGAUGCGUUGAGCUAACCGGUACUAAUGAACCGUGAGGCUUAACCUUACAACGCCGAAGCUGUU